rnacentral:rRNA from 1 species
GACGAACGCUGGCGGCGUGCUUAACACAUGCAAGUCGAACGGAACUUAUCGGAUCAAGACUUCGGUCAAGUGAAUUUAAGUUUAGUGGCGGACGGGUGAGUAACGCGUGAGCAAUCUGCCUUUCAGAGGGGGACACCAGUUGGAAACGACUGUUAAUACCGCAUAACAUAUCGAGAUCGCAUGAUAUUGAUAUCAAAGAUUUAUCGCUGAAAGAUGAGCUCGCGUCUGAUUAGAUAGUUGGUGAGGUAACGGCUCACCAAGUCGAUGAUCAGUAGCCGAACUGAGAGGUUGAUCGGCCACAUUGGGACUGAGACACGGCCCAGACUCCUACGGGAGGCAGCAGUGGGGGAUAUUGCGCAAUGGGGGGCAACCCUGACGCAGCAACGCCGCGUGAAGGAAGAAGGUUUCGGAUCGUAAACUUCUUUAAGUGGGGAAGAUAGUGACGGUACCCACAGAAUAAGCCACGGCUAACUACGUGCCAGCAGCCG